UACGUAGGGUCCGAGCGUUGUCCGGAAUUAUUGGGCGUAAAGGGCUCGUAGGCGGUCCGUCACGUCGGGAGUGAAAACUCAGGGCUCAACCCUGAGCGUGCUUCCGAUACGGGCGGACUAGAGGUAUGCCGGGGAGAACGGAAUUCCUGGUGUAGCGGUGGAAUGCGCAGAUAUCAGGAGGAACACCGGUGGCGAAGGCGGUUCUCUGGGCAUUACCCGACGCUGAGGAGCGAAAGCUAGGGGAGCGAACAGG
rnacentral:rRNA from 1 species